rnacentral:rRNA from 1 species
AGUGAACGCUGGCGGUAGGCCUAACACAUGCAAGUCGAACGGCAGCACAGUAAGAGCUUGCUCUUACGGGUGGCGAGUGGCGGACGGGUGAGGAGUACAUCGGAAUCUACUUUUUCGUGGGGGAUAACGUAGGGAAACUUACGCUAAUACCGCAUACGACCUACGGGUGAAAGCAGGGGAUCUUCGGACCUCGCGCGAUUGAAUGAGCCGAUGUCGGAUUAGCUAGUUGGCGGGGUAAAGGCCCACCAAGGCGACGAUCCGUAGCUGGUCUGAGAGGAUGAUCAGCCACACUGGAACUGAGACACGGUCCAGACUCCUACGGGAGGCAGCAGUGGGGAAUAUUGGACAAUGGGCGCAAGCCUGAUCCAGCCAUACCGCGUGGGUGAAGAAGGCCUUCGGGUUGUAAAGCCCUUUUGUUGGGAAAGAAAAGCAGCAGGUUAAUACCCCGCUGUUCUGACGGUACCCAAAGAAUAAGCACCGGCUAACUUCGUG